GGGACCGCCGCUGGUAGACGCGUUCUCGGGCGGCUCUGGCUGGAGAAGAGGAAUUGCAUGUGUCGCUUCAGCUGGCGGUAGUGGCGGGAGCGGAGGCGGUGGAGGCUGUGCGACCGCCUGGGUUUUGAAAUGGCUGCUGACAUUUCUGAAUCCGGUGGGCAUGAUUGCAGAGGAGACCAGAGGAGCAACACCAAGUUAGAUGCAGAUUACCCACUUCGAGUCCUUUACUGUGGAGUCUGUUCAUUACCAACAGAGUACUGUGAAUAUAUGCCUGAUGUUGCUAAAUGUAGACAAUGGUUAGAGAAGAAUUUUCCAAAUGAGUUUGCAAAACUUACUGUAGAAAAUUCACCUAAACAAGAAGCUGGAAUUAGUGAGGGUCAAGGAACAGCAGGGGAAGAGGAAGAGAAGAAAAAACAAAAGAGAGGUGGAAGGGGUCAAAUAAAACAGAAAAAGAAAACUGUACCACAAAAGGUUACGAUAGCCAAAAUUCCCAGAGCAAAGAAGAAAUAUGUAACAAGAGUGUGUGGCCUUGCAACUUUUGAAAUUGAUCUUAGAGAAGCACAAAGAUUUUUUGCUCAGAAAUUAUCCUGUGGUGCCUCAGUAACAGGGGAGGAUGAAAUCAUCAUUCAGGGAGACUUUACAGAUGAUAUUAUUGAUGUCAUUCAGGAAAAAUGGCCAGAGGUGGAUGAUGAUAGCAUUGAAGAUCUUGGAGAAGUGAAGAAGUGAUUUUGAAAAUGUGUCUGUAUUUAAUGAUCUGAGCUGAUUGUUGAUGUGGCCAAAGGGAGAGAGUCCUUUUAAAAAUAUAUAUAUUUAUCCUACAGUAAAACUGUAGCCUACCCUUCACCCUUGGAAUUUUCACUGUUCUGUACAAGGCUGCUUGUUUUUUGGUGUUUUGGUUUUUUUUUUUUUAAUUGCCAAAGUCUAAUAAACAGGAGAGACUGUCAUGCUUAUGCAUGAGAUAGAAUUUAGUCAAAUAAAAAUUUUUGGUCAUUUGGUACUGA